AGAUUGAACGCUGGCGGCAUGCCUUACACAUGCAAGUCGAACGGCAGCACGGGUGCUUGCACCUGGUGGCGAGUGGCGAACGGGUGAGUAAUAUAUCGGAACGUACCCUAGAGUGGGGGAUAACGCAGCGAAAGUUGCGCUAAUACCGCAUACGAUCUACGGAUGAAAGUGGGGGAUCGCAAGACCUCAUGCUCAUGGAGCGGCCGAUAUCUGAUUAGCUAGUUGGUGGGGUAAAAGCCUACCAAGGCAUCGAUCAGUAGCUGGUCUGAGAGGACGACCAGCCACACUGGACUGAGACA
rnacentral:rRNA from 1 species